rnacentral:sRNA from 1 species
UUACACCCGUGCAAAGGAUUGAAACGGCAUCCUUUUUUGUGAACCUUAAUUUUGAUUGAAGCAUUGUUUUUAGUGUCACUAUGAAGUUGAUUUUGAGAGCGAAACCCCAACACAAAAAAGAUAUAGUGUAAAGCCUGACGCUAU